rnacentral:rRNA from 1 species
AUUGAACGGUGAAACUGCGAAUGGCUCAUUAAAUCAGUUAUCGUUUAUUUGAUAGUACCUUACUACUUGGAUAACCGUGGUAAUUCUAGAGCUAAUACAUGCUAAAAAUCCCGACUUCGGAAGGGAUGUAUUUAUUAGAUUAAAAACCAAUGCCCUUCGGGGCUCACUGGUGAUUCAUGAUAACUCCUCGAAUCGCAUGGCCUUGUGCCGGCGAUGGUUCAUUCAAAUUUCUUCCCUAUCAACUUUCGAUGU